rnacentral:rRNA from 1 species
CAGUCGUACUCGCAGAUAAUCAACCUUUAGAUGCGAUUUUGUGGAGCGUCAAGAGUUAAACGCCUUCAUGCCUGCAUACUCGUAUACUUUGGGUGUACUUAUUCGUGUGGUAAGUUAACAUCAAUUUUGGUGAUCAUAAAAUGACUGGAGGAAUGUAGCUUCGAUCUCGUAUUGAAGUGUUAUAGCCUUUGGUAGAUGUGAUGUUUGAGACCGAGGAUUGCAACGGAUACCCUUCAGGGCUAUUCGUCUGAUCUCUGAUACGUUGCCUUGAUGUUAGAAGUCUUGCUUAUGAUGGUUAGGUAUUACGGU